rnacentral:rRNA from 1 species
UACGGAGGGUCCGAGCGUUAAUCGGAAUUACUGGGCGUAAAGCGUGCGCAGGCGGUUUGUUAAGCGAGAUGUGAAAGCCCCGGGCUCAACCUGGGAACCGCAUUUCGAACUGGCGAACUAGAGUCUUGUAGAGGGGGGUAGAAUUCCAGGUGUAGCGGUGAAAUGCGUAGAGAUCUGGAGGAAUACCAGUGGCGAAGGCGGCCCCCUGGACAAAGACUGACGCUCAUGCACGAAAGCGUGGGGAGCAAACAGG